GUGGGGAAUAUUGGACAAUGGGCGCAAGCCUGAUCCAGCCAUGCCGCGUGAGUGAUGAAGGCCCUAGGGUUGUAAAGCUCUUUCACCGGAGAAGAUAAUGACGGUAUCCGGAGAAGAAGCCCCGGCUAACUUCGUGCCAGCAGCCGCGGUAAUACGAAGGGGGCUAGCGUUGUUCGGAAUUACUGGGCGUAAAGCGCACGUAGGCGGACAUUUAAGUCAGGGGUGAAAUCCCGGGGCUCAACCCCGGAACUGCCUUUGAUACGGGGUGUCUGGAGUAUGGAAGAGGUAAGUGGAAUUCCGAGUGUAGAGGUGAAAUUCGUAGAUAUUCGGAGGAACACCAGUGGCGAAGGCGGCUUACUGGUCCAUUACUGACGCUGAGGUGCGAAAGCGUGGGGAGCAAACAGGAUUAGAUACCCUAGUAGUCC
rnacentral:rRNA from 1 species